rnacentral:rRNA from 1 species
GACGAACGCUGGCGGCGUGCUUAACACAUGCAAGUCGAACGGAAAGGCCCUGCUUUUGUGGGGUGCUCGAGUGGCGAACGGGUGAGUAACACGUGAGUAACCUGCCCUUGACUUUGGGAUAACUUCAGGAAACUGGGGCUAAUACCGGAUAGGAGCUCCUGCUGCAUGGUGGGGGUUGGAAAGUUUCGGCGGUUGGGGAUGGACUCGCGGCUUAUCAGCUUGUUGGUGGGGUAGUGGCUUACCAAGGCUUUGACGGGUAGCCGGCCUGAGAGGGUGACCGGCCACAUUGGGACGGAGAUACGGCCCAGACUCCUACGGGAGACAGCAGUGGGGAAUAUUGCACAAUGGGCGGAAGCCUGAUGCAGCAACGCCGCGUGCGGGAUGACGGCCUUCGGGUUGUAAACCGCUUUCGCCUGUGACGAAGCGUGAGUGACGGUAAUGGGUAAAGAAGCACCGGCUAACUACGUG